rnacentral:rRNA from 1 species
AUUGAACGCUGGCGGCAGGCUUAACACAUGCAAGUCGAGCGGAGAUGAGGUGCUUGCACCUUAUCUUAGCGGCGGACGGGUGAGUAAUGCUUAGGAAUCUGGCUAUUAGUGGGGGACAACAUUCCGAAAGGAAUGCUAAUACCGCAUACGUCCUACGAGAGAAAGCAGGGGAUCUUCGGACCUUGCGCUAAUAGAUGAGCCUAAGUCGGAUUAGCUAGUUGGUGGGGUAAAGGCCUACCAAGGCGACGAUCUAUAGCGGGUCUGAGAGGAUGAUCCGCCACACUGGGACUGAGACACGGCCCAGACUCCUACGGGAGGCAGCAGUGGGGAAUAUUGGACAAUGGGGGGAACCCUGAUCCAGCCAUGCCGCGUGUGUGAAGAAGGCCUUAUGGUUGUAAAGCACUUUAAGCGAGGAGGAGGCUACUGAGACUAAUACUCUUGGAUAGUGGACGUUACUCGCAGAAUAAGCACCGGCUAACUCUGUGCCAGCCGCCGCGGUGAAAC